GAACGCACAUUGCGCCCCUUGGUAUUCCGGGGGGCAUGCCUGUUCGAGCGUCAUUAUAACCCCUCAAGCUCAGCUUGGUGUUGGGGCCUGCCAACUGGCAGCCCUUAAAAUCAGUGGCGGCGCCAUCUGGCUCUAAGCGUAGUAAUUUCUCUCGCUAUAGGGUCCCGGUGGACGCUGGCCAGCAACCCCCAAUUUUUUAAUGGUUGACCUCGGAUCAGGUAGGGAUACCCGCUGAACUUAAG
rnacentral:misc_RNA from 1 species